rnacentral:rRNA from 1 species
GGAGSCGUGMAAGCAUUAAUCGGAAUUACUGGGCGUAAAGGGCGCGUAGGCGGGAAUGUAAGUCAGAUGUGAAAUUCCGAGGCUCAACUUCGGAGCUGCAUUUGAAACUAUAUACCUUGAGGAUUGGCGGAGAGAACGGAAUUCCACGUGUAGCGGUGAAAUGCGUAGAUAUGUGGAAGAACACCUGUGGCGAAAGCGGUUCUCUAGCUUAUACCAGACGCUGAGGCGCGAGAGCAAGGGGAGCAAACAGGAUUAGAUACCCUGGUAGUCCUUGCCGUAAACGAUGCAUACUUGAUGUAGGUGGGCUCAACCCUGCCUGUGUCGAAGCUAACGCGAUAAGUAUGCCGCCUGGGGAGUACGCUCGCAAGAGUG